UUUUCUGAUCUGGUUUGAUUGUUCUUGGUGUGUAGGUCUGCUUCAAGUUGCAGAUCUGUACUUGUUGUUGAGGGAGAUCUUCUGGAUCUUGGGAGGUUGUUGAUAUUCAAACCCUAGCUAGGGUUUCGUAUAUCUUGUUGAAGAACUGUGUUGGUCUCUAAACCCUUGAAGGUUUAGGGCAAACUGACCAGUUUGUUUGUGCUUCAUAUUGUAUUAAAAACCUCAGAUCUGUUUCAGAUCUGGUGUUUUUUGGAUAGCUUGCACCCACUGUGAGAUCUUUCUCUCCCCUCUCUUUAUUUCUGUUGUUGGUUGAUUAGUUGAAGUCGGGGUAGUGAGGACCGGCAUUUGUUUGUUUGUUUGAUUUCUUAUCUGCUCUAAAAACAAAUUUGGGUUUAUAGAUGAUCAUUGUUGUUUCAAAGUGGUGUUCCACUAAAUUUUUGGUCUGAUUGUGUGUUGACUGCUGUUUAUCUUAUUAACAGGUUACCUUCCUCUGUUUUGUUAGGUAAAAGCCCCUAUGAAUUAAUGUUUGGUUUUAAACCCUCUUUUGCUCAUCUUAGAGUGUUUGGUUGUUUGUGCUUUAGUACU
rnacentral:lncRNA from 1 species